UACGUAGGGUGCAAGCGUUGUCCGGAAUUAUUGGGCGUAAAGAGCUCGUAGGCGGUCUGUCGCGUCUGCUGUGAAAACUCGGGGCUUAACCCCGGGCCUGCAGUGGGUACGGGCAGACUAGAGUGCGGUAGGGGAGACUGGAAUUCCUGGUGUAGCGGUGAAAUGCGCAGAUAUCAGGAGGAACACCGAUGGCGAAGGCAGGUCUCUGGGCCACUACUGACGCUGAGAAGCGAAAGCAUGGGGCGCGAACAGG
rnacentral:rRNA from 1 species